AAAAGACAUGGACGACAUCCAGAAACUUCAUGAGAAAGUAUUGACUGUCUUGAAACUUGAAGUCGGCAAGAAUCACAAGGAGGAGGAGACAACUCUUGUGAAACUCCUUGGUCAUGUAGAGGAGCUGCGCAACCUAGGAGGAUGGCACAUCGAUGUGCUCAACAUGUUCAAACGAUCUGCUCCGGACAUAGAGUUCCCUGCCCUUCACAAAGAACUUUUCUCAGUAGAAGGCAUCGAAGGAUCAUGAACAGACCACAGGAAAGGAGAAUGAGAGAGAGACUGGAAGAGAGUGAGAG
rnacentral:lncRNA from 1 species